rnacentral:pre_miRNA from 1 species
AUGGACGGAAGAGAGCGUCCUUCAGUCCACUCACGGGCGGUGCCAGGAUCGAAUUAGCUGCCGACUCAUUCAUCCACAUGCCGAGCAAAAGUUUAGCCCUUUGAGAAAGAGCUUUGCAGAUGAGUGAAUGAAGCGGGAGGUAAAGCUUUGAUCUCGCGCCGCCGUUGCUUGGACUGAAGGGUGCUCCCUCCUCCUCCCUU